rnacentral:SRP_RNA from 1 species
GACGGGCCUCCUCGCAUAGUGGUGCGGCCAAUCUGGUCAGGUCGGGAACGAAGCAGCCACAACCGUUUCCCGCUAGUGCCGGGGUUUGGGCUCGUCACC